rnacentral:rRNA from 1 species
CAAGUCGCACGAGAAAGUGGAGCAAUCCAUGAGUACAGUGGCGCACGGGUGAGUAACACGUGAAUCAUCUACCUCCGAGUGGGGAAUAACCUAGAGAAAUCUGGGCUAAUACCGCAUAACACUUACGAGUCAAAGCAGCAAUGCGCUUGGAGAGGAGUUCGCGGCCGAUUAGCUAGUUGGCGGGGUAAUGGCCCACCAAGGCGAUGAUCGGUAUCCGGCCUGAGAGGGCGCACGGACACACUGGAACUGAAACACGGUCCAGACUCCUACGGGAGGCAGCAGUGGGGAAUUUUGCGCAAUGGGGGAAACCCUGACGCAGCAACGCCGCGUGGAGGAUGAAAUCCCUUGGGAUGUAAACUCCUUUCGAUGGGGAAGAUUAUGACGGUACCCAUAGAAGAAGCCCCGGCUAACUUCGUGCCAGCAGCCGCGGUAAUACGAGGGGGGCAAGCGUUGUUCGGAAUUAUUGGGCGUAAAGGGUGCGUAGGCGGUUUGACAAGUCUGAUGUGAAAUCUAUGGGCUCAACCCAUAGCCUGCAUCGGAAACUGUCGGGCUUGAGUAUGGGAGAGGUGAGUGGAAUUUCCGGUGUAGCGGUGAAAUGCGUAGAUAUCGGAAGGAACACCUGUGGCGAAAGCGGCUCACUGGACCAUUACUGACGCUGAGGCACGAAAGCUAGGGGAGCAAACAGGAUUAGAUACCCUGGUAGUCCUAGCCCUAAACGAUGAUUGCUUGAUGUGGCAGGUACCCAAUCCUGCCGUGUCGAAGCUAACGCGAUAAGCAAUCCGCCUGGGG